rnacentral:tmRNA from 1 species
GGGGCCGACUGGUUUUGACAGCGAGACCAAUUGGAAUGUAAGCAUGCCGAGCUAUGGAAGUAAUGCUCGUUAAAAUCUAUUCCACACUUUUAAUUGGCGAUAAUAACUACGCUCUUGCCGCUUAAUCUGAAUUAUAGUAAGAUUAGCCUCGUCGCUACUAGGUAGCGAAGCGAGAUGUCUCAGAAUAGCCCUUGUUGACGGCGAUUCAUUUUGAGGCACCAUAAAAGUCAACAUAAGGCUUUUGUUCGCUUUGACAAUAGCACUAAAACUUUAAGAAGCUAAGCGUAAGAUAGGCGGUUUUUGGUCGGUCUUGCGUCUAAAAUUGAACAAAAACUAAGCAUGUAGAAAGCCUUUUAAUUGCUUGUUUGGACGGGAGUUCGAUUCUCCCCGGCUCCACAA